rnacentral:rRNA from 1 species
UAACGUAGGUCGACACAGGGACCGCCGGUCUUUAAAGCCGGAGGAAGUGGGGAUGACGUCAAGUCAGCAUGGCCUUUAUGUCCAGGGCUACACACACGCUACAAUGGUCAGCACAAUAGGUAGCCAAGCCGCGAGGUGGAGCCAAUCCUCAAAGCUGGCCUCAGUUCAGAUCGCAGGCUGCAACCCGCCUGCGUGAAGCCGGAGUCGCUAGUAACCGCAGGUCAGCUAUACUGCGGUGAAUACGUUCCCGGGGCUU